UACGUAGGGGGCUAGCGUUGCCCGGAAUCACUGGGCGUAAAGCGCACGUAGGCGGAUUGUUAAGUCAGGUGUGAAAUCCUGGAGCUCAACUCCAGAACUGCCUUUGAUACUGGCGAUCUUGAGUCCGGGAGAGGUGAGUGGAACUGCGAGUGUAGAGGUGAAAUUCGUAGAUAUUCGCAAGAACACCAGUGGCGAAGGCGGCUCACUGGCCCGGUACUGACGCUGAGGUGCGAAAGCGUGGGGAGCAAACAGG
rnacentral:rRNA from 1 species